rnacentral:rRNA from 1 species
AGAACGAACGCUGGCGGCAUGCCUAAUACAUGCAAGUCGAACGAACUCUUCGGAGUUAGUGGCGCACGGGUGCGUAACGCGUGGGAAUCUGCCCCUUGGUUCGGAAUAACAGUUGGAAACGACUGCUAAUACCGGAUGAUGACGAAAGUCCAAAGAUUUAUCGCCAAGGGAUGAGCCCGCGUAGGAUUAGCUAGUUGGUGAGGUAAAGGCUCACCAAGGCAACGAUCCUUAGCUGGUCUGAGAGGAUGAUCAGCCACACUGGGACUGAGACACGGCCCAGACUCCUACGGGAGCAGCAGUAGGGAAUAGUUGGACAAUGGGACGAAAGCCUGAUCCAGCAAGUGCCGCGUGAGUGAAUAAAGGCCUUAGGGUUGUAAAGCUCUUUUACCGAGUAUAGAUAAUGACAGUAGUCGGAAGAA